rnacentral:rRNA from 1 species
GUAUAGCAAUAGCUAAUUGUAUUAGCAAAUAGUUUUUACAAUAUCGAUUUAAUCGACUAAAAUUCUAGGUAGAUUUAUGAUGAUGACAUUAUCUAUCUAUGUGUCUUGACCAAAUUUCGUGCCAGCAGUCGCGGUAAGACGUAAGAGACUAGUGUUAUUCAUCUUUAAUAGGUUUAAAGCGUACCUAGACGGUAAUUAAAGCCUAUAUCAGGAACUUGUUUACUAGAGUUAAAUGUAAGGGUGUAUUAAAGUACUGUUGAGUGUAGAGAUGAAAUUCGUUGAUACCAAAUGAUUGGCACAGGUAUAGGCGAAAGCAUCACUUUAUGUAAUAACUGACGUUGACGGACGAAGGCUUUGUGUCGCGAACAGGAUUAGAUACCCCAGUAGUCUUAGCAGAAAACUAUGAGUGUCAUAGGUUAGAUUUUAUUUGGUCUAUAAAUGAAAGUGUAAGCACUCCACCUCAAGAGUAAUUUGGCAACAUUGGAACUGAAAUCAUUAGACCGUUUCUGAAACCAGUAGUGAAGUAUGUUGUUUAAUUUGAUAAUCCGCAAAGAACCUUACCACAAUUUGAAUAUAAAUGAUUUAUUUUUACAAGCGUUGCACGGCUGUCUUCAGUUAAUGUCGUGAGAUAUUGGUUUAUUCCAUUAAAUUAACGUAAACCCGUACUUUAUUUUUAUAUAAAGUUGUUCAUUCGCUAUAAUGGAUGUGAUAGCAGGGACUAAGACAGUCAUC